rnacentral:rRNA from 1 species
GACGAACGCUGGCGGCGUGCUUAACACAUGCAAGUCGAACGGAAAGGCCCUGCUUGCAGGGUACUCGAGUGGCGAACGGGUGAGUAACACGUGGGUGAUCUGCCCUGCACUUCGGGAUAAGCCUGGGAAACUGGGUCUAAUACCGGAUAGGAGCCAUUUUUAGUGUGAUGGUUGGAAAGUUUUUUCGGUGUAGGGUGAGCUCGCGGCCUAUCAGCUUGUUGGUGGGGUAAUGGCCUACCAAGGCGGCGACGGGUAGCCGGCCUGAGAGGGUGGACGGCCACAUUGGGACUGAGAUACGGCCCAGACUCCUACGGGAGGCAGCAGUGGGGAAUAUUGCACAAUGGGCGCAAGCCUGAUGCGGCGACGCCGCGUGGGGGAUGACGGCCUUCGGGUUGUAAACUCCUUUCGCUAGGGACGAAGCUUUUUGUGACGGUACCUAGAGAAGAAGCACCGGCUAACUACGUG